rnacentral:rRNA from 1 species
GAUGAACGCUAGCGGCAGGCUUAAUACAUGCACGUCGAACGCGAUCCAGGAGCUUGCUCCUGGUGAAAGUGGCGCACGGGUGCGUAACGCGUAUGCAACCUACCUUUAUCAGGGGGAUAGCCCGGGGAAACCCGGAUUAAUACCGCAUAACAUAUUGAAUGGCAUCAUUUGAUAUUGAAAGAUUUAUUGGACAGAGAUGG